UACGAAGGGGGCUAGCGUUGCUCGGAAUUACUGGGCGUAAAGGGCGCGUAGGCGGGUCGUUAAGUUAGAGGUGAAAGCCCAGGGCUCGACCCUGGAAUUGCCUUUGAUACUGGCGGCCUUGAGUAUGGCAGAGGUGUGUGGAACUCCGAGUGUAGAGGUGAAAUUCGUAGAUAUUCGGAAGAACACCAGUGGCGAAGGCGACACACUGGGCCAUUACUGACGCUGAGGCGCGAAAGCGUGGGGAGCAAACAGG
rnacentral:rRNA from 1 species